rnacentral:rRNA from 1 species
UACGUAGGUGGCAAGCGUUAUCCGGAUUUACUGGGUGUAAAGGGCGUGUAGGCGGGGACGCAAGUCAGAUGUGAAAACCACGGGCUCAACCUGUGGCCUGCAUUUGAAACUGUUUUUCUUGAGUGCUGGAGAGGCAAUCGGAAUUCCGUGUGUAGCGGUGAAAUGCGUAGAUAUACGGAGGAACACCGGUGGCGAAAGCGGCUCUCUGGCCUGUAACUGACACUGAGGCUCGAAAGCGUGGGGAGCAAACAGG